rnacentral:rRNA from 1 species
AUUGAACGCUGGCGGCAGGCUUAACACAUGCAAGUCGAGCGAGCGGCGGACGGGUGAGUAAUGUCUGGGAAUCUGCCUGAUGGAGGGGGAUAACUACUGGAAACGGUAGCUAAUACCGCAUACCAUCAGAUGUGCCCAGAUGGGAUUAGCUAGUAGGUGGGGUAAUGGCUCACCUAGGCGACGAUCCCUAGCUGGUCUGCGAGGAUGACCAGCCACACAGGAACUGAGAGACGGACCAGAAUCCUACGGGAGGCAGCAGUGGGGAAUAUUGCACAAUGGGCGCAAGACUGAUGCAGCCAUGCCGCGUGUAUGAAGAAGGCCUUCGGGUUGUAAAGCACUUUCAGCGGGGAGGCGUUACUCACAGAAGAAGCACCGGCUAACUCCGUGCCAGCAGCCGCGGUAAUUC